GUGUCAGCCGCCGCGGUAAUACGGAGAGGGCAAGCGUUGUUCGGAUUUAUUGGGCGUAAAGCGCGUGUAGGCGGCGCAGUAAGUCAGAUGUUAAAGACCCACGGCUCACCCGGGGGAAUGCGUCUGAUACUGCUGUGCUAGAGUACUGGAGAGGAGAGUGGAAUUCCUGGUGUAGCGGUGAAAUGCGUAGAUAUCAGGAGGAACACCGGUGGCGAAGGCGGCUCUCUGGCCAGUUACUGACGUUGAGGCGCGAAAGCGUGGGUAGCGAACGGGAUUAGAUACCCCUGGUAGUCCACGCCGUAAACGUUGGAUACUAGGUGUGGGAGGUAUUCUACCCCUUCCGUGCCGCAGCUAACGCAUUAAGUAUCCCGCCUGGGGAGUACGACCGCAAGGUUGAAACUUAAAUGAAUUGGCGGGG
rnacentral:rRNA from 1 species